CAACUGGUCCCUGAUUGGCAAAUGUGUCUCAGUAGACAAUCGAUCUAACCUACCAGGCAUUAUUAUUAUUCCACAGGAAGCUCAGGGA
rnacentral:misc_RNA from 1 species